UUCCUUCCAUCGGAACGGAGAAUGGAGUGCCGGGAUUAUUUAUAAAUGAAACUAAUAGAAAAGAGUAAUAUCCCUAAUUUUUUAUUUAAAAUUAUCCUCCGCCACCUUUCAUUUUAUCAUUUUGGUUUAUUUUGAAGAAGAGCUUACCGGCUUGACAUCAAUGCCAAGGGAGUCGAGGUAGUUACCACUCCUUCCAUAGAAUCCAACAAUGACUGAAUUUUGCAUUGGGAUGGAAAAUUCAGUGCCGCCGCUAAUGUCUCCAAAAGGGCCAUAUGUAGUAAGAUUUGUAUAAAAUGAUAACGAUGUGAUCACCACUAUUCCAUUGUAAGCUUUGUAUGAGCCACUUAUGGACUUUAGAUAUUCCGAAGGCCAUUGAAAAUUUAUCUGUAUGUACGUACAUCCAUCAUCACACCAAGAUAAUUAGUCAUAUAUAGUUGAGCAUGAAAUGAACCAAUUAUACAAACACACACACACACACACACACACACACACACACACACAUAUAUAUAUAUAUAUAUAUAUAUGAGAGAUUGAUCCAUAGCACCGCUCACUAUUGGUAAUUUUAUAAACAACUGAUCUGUGACCACUCAUUGUAAUCACGAAUGGCCAAGAUUAAAAGACAAGAUUAAAAGGGCUAGUUAGUAUCCAGAAAAAGUUUAUGCAGAUACUAAUUAGUAUAUGUAGAAACUUCAUGCAUGCGGAUACUUUUUCUCUCUCCUAAAAUAAAAUUUCCACUCUUCAAAUUCAAUACAUUUUUUGUUAUAAAUUUAAAAUUAUCAAUCUAUAUAUCACUAGAAAGGUCUUCCAAAAUAUCUUUAAAAUAAGAGACAUUGUUGAUAUACUUUCAUGUAGUUAAAAUGUCAAAAAGUUGCAAUCAAAUCUUAUAAUAGUGUAUUUUAAAAUACAAAAUUUUAAUUCCAAUUUCGGUCAUUUUAAAUAAAUAAAAAUAUGUCAACAAUGGAUCUUGUUUUAAAGAUGUUAACGAGAGUUUUUUUAACGAUGUAUAGAUUAAUAAUUUUGGAUUUGUAACACAAAAGUUAAUGAAUUUUAAAAUUUGAUCAAAGAAAUAGAAAAAAAUUUGGUUAAUAAUUCCUUUAUAGUCUUGCUCGUUUGUAAUUAUAAUGAGUAGCAGUUGGAUAGAGAAUGACUUAUAACUAGCCGCUAACUAUAAAUCACUCAUAUAUAUAUAUAUAUAUAGAGGGUUGUACUCCUCACUGUUGUCUCUUGGCCGGUUUCAUUAGGAUUGUCGCCGCCAAAUUUAGGGGAUUUUUGGCCACUGGCGUCUACGAAAGAGAUGGAGAAGAUACAUCCUCCUUGACCAAUAACUAUUCUCUUUACACCACUGAGUGCCUUGAAACUCCAGCCAAUAUGACCACCUGAACCACCCCAUGGCCCCAAUGAAAUGCUUCCUUCUUCUACCAAAGGCUGCAGCAUAUAUAAAAAAAUAAUCAACAAUUUGUUUAGGUAAUAUUGUUUUAUCGAAACCAUAAUUAGUAAGUUAAUUACUUUAUGAACAAUCAAUAUAUAUCACAUACGAGUAACUAAGAUAACAACAUGUCAACACACCACUUACCAUUUGAAUUCUUCGUCGGUCUGUGAUUCUGAAUAUAUCCUUUAAUUAUGGAACAUUAUUUAUAAAUGAAACUACUAGAAAAGAGUAAUAUCUGUAAUUUUUUAUUUAAAAUUAUCCUCCGCCACCUUUCAUUUUAUCAUUUUGGUUUAUUUUGAAGAAGAGCUUACCGGCUUGACAUCAAAGCCAAGGGAGUCGAGGUAGUUACCACUCCUUCCAUAGAAUCCAACAAUGACAGAGUUUUGCAUUGGGAUGGAAAAUUCAGUGCCGCCACUAAUGUCUCCAAAAGGGCCAUACCU
rnacentral:lncRNA from 1 species